rnacentral:lncRNA from 1 species
GACCUUCAGUUGUGCUUUAAACAAUUGGUUUAAUUUUGAUUAUAUUUUUUUAUCUGAUAUAUUGUUCUUGUUGAAUUUCAUUUCUUUGUAUUUAACAAAUAGAACGUAAAAAUUCUACCUCUAUAUUGAGUGCGAUACAAUAUUUAGCCAAUCAAGACAGUUCAUGUUUUGAAUUUAAAAAGCAAGGCUUGCCGAGCGUUUUAGGUACUUAAGAUUUAACUGUCUAGAGUGGAUAAGAAUCGUAUUGCAUAAUAUAUAAUUGUGGAAGCAUUACCACCAAUGAUUUUUUUAUGAUAUACAGACACACUUUAUUUCUGAAUGAUCUACAAAAAGAUGUGUUCUUUAAAUGUGACGUCAUUAGCAGAGUCGCCUUUUUCAUGCCGUCACUAUUUUAGGGAAAUGUUACAAAAUUAGACGCCAUCAAAAAUUUGACAAAUGUAGAACUAAGAUGAAACCAACCACGAGUUGAAUUGACUAAAAAUAACUAACAUGUCAUGAAAAAGAUAAACAUGUGUUGGUUCCGAAUUAGAGAAACGUGAUCUAUAAAUAUAGAACUGAUGUAUAUCAAACGUCAAAUGUAUGUGAUUUCAGAACCAUUAUGAUAACUAAAUUUAGAUUCAAAUCACAAAGAUAUUGUCACCUUUAUGAGUUACACUAUAUUUUAGAAGAAAUUUUAGGGUUAUGUAGGGUUAGGAUUUGAUGAAUAGGCUAUGAAACUAUACCAUGAAAUAAGCGAUCAGUUAUUAUCUUCAACUGAUUGUAAUAUGUAUUUUUUUGUGUUUGUCUGUUUUCAUUCAUUUCACCAAGC